rnacentral:lncRNA from 1 species
GCUGGUUUUGUAUUUUUCUUUCAUGAUAUUUUUCUUAGAGUGGUAAUUUAUGUAAUAAUAAUAAUAAUAAUAAUAAUAAAUAAAUAAAUAAAAGAAAAAGGAAAAAGGAAAAAGAAUAAUAAAUGAAAAAUCAGAAGCCAACGGAGGUGGAGGAGCACUAACUCAUAGGCGGAAUUCUCUUUAUUUCUAGAUUUCAUUUGAAUAAAUAUUUCCCGUUAAUUAGUUGUACCCUGUUCCGUCAAUCAUCU